rnacentral:rRNA from 1 species
GAUGAACGCUAGCGGCAGGCUUAACACAUGCAAGUCGAGGGGUAGAAGGAGCUUGCUCCUUUGAGACCGGCGCACGGGUGCGUAACGCGUAUGCAAUCUACCUUGUACAGGGGGAUAGCCCAGAGAAAUUUGGAUUAAUACCCCAUAGUGUAAUGAAUAGGCAUCUAUUUAUUACUAAAGUUCCAACGGUACAAGAUGAGCAUGCGUCCCAUUAGCUAGUUGGUGUGGUAACGGCAUACCAAGGCAACGAUGGGUAGGGGUCCUGAGAGGGGGAUCCCCCACACUGGUACUGAGACACGGACCAGACUCCUACGGGAGGCAGCAGUGAGGAAUAUUGGUCAAUGGGCGCAAGCCUGAACCAGCCAUGCCGCGUGCAGGAUGACGGUCCUAUGGAUUGUAAACUGCUUUUGUACAGGAAGAAACACUCCCUCGUGAGGGAACUUGACGGUACUGUAAGAAUAAGGAUCGGCUAACUCCGUGCCAGCCGCCGCUGUAAGAC